rnacentral:rRNA from 1 species
AUACGUAGGGGGCAAGCGUUAUCCGGAUUUACUGGGUGUAAAGGGAGCGUAGACGGAAGGCCAAGUCUGAUGUGAAAGCCCGCGGCUCAACUGCGGGACUGCAUUGGAAACUGGUCAUCUGGAGUGCAGGAGGGGUAAGCGGAAUUCCUAGUGUAGCGGUGAAAUGCGUAGAUAUUAGGAGGAACACCGGUGGCGAAGGCGGCUUACUGGACUGUAACGGACGUUGAGGCUCGAAAGCGGGGGGAGCAAACAGGAUUAGAUACCCUGGUAGUCCACGCUGUAAACGAUGAAUACUAGGUGUCGGGUUUCUAUAGAGAUUCGGUGCCGCAGCAAACGCAAUAAGUAUUCCACCUGGGGAGUACGUUCGCAAGAAUGAAACUCAAAGGAAUUGACGGGG